GAUGAACGCUGGCGGCGUGCCUAAUACAUGCAAGUCGAGCGAACAGACGAGGAGCUUGCUCCUCUGACGUUAGCGGCGGACGGGUGAGUAACACGUGGAUAACCUACCUAUAAGACUGGGAUAACUUCGGGAAACCGGAGCUAAUACCGGAUAAUAUAUUGAACCGCAUGGUUCAAUAGUGAAAGACGGUUUUGCUGUCACUUAUAGAUGGAUCCGCGCCGCAUUAGCUAGUUGGUAAGGUAACGGCUUACCAAGGCGACGAUGCGUAGCCGACCUGAGAGGGUGAUCGGCCACACUGGAACUGAGACACGGUCCAGCCCCCUAGGGGAGGCAGCAGUAGGGAAUCUUCCGCAAUGGGGGAAAGCCUGACGGAGCAACGCCGGGGGAGUGAUGAAGGUCUUCGGAUCGUAAAACUCUGUUAUUAGGGAAAAACAAAUGUGUAAGUAACUAUGCACGUUUUGACGGUACCUAAUCAAAAAGCCCCGGCUAACUAAAU
rnacentral:rRNA from 1 species